AUAAAAGGCACUUUCUUGUAAUUAGGUGCAGA
rnacentral:piRNA from 1 species